rnacentral:lncRNA from 1 species
GCAGAGUAGCAUCUAUCAGCAGCUGCUAAUUCAGUGCUGGCUCAGUGAUGCAUCCUACAAUGGGCAGGGUGACGAGACCAAGGAACAGGUCCCUGGGCUUUGCUAAGCAUCGCCAGAUGUCAUCAUUAGGACAUAUCAGCAGUAAGAGUGCUGAUUGUGUUGUACUGGAGAAUCACAGUCAGCUUCUUUUUCCUAAUUAUGAAGGAGGUAUAUAUCUGAAAACAUUUAAAAUAAUAUAUUAGCCAUAUAGAAUGUCAAGGUUAACAUAGUUCCCAGAUCUGAAAGAAAAGGCAAUAUUAACUUGGAUGUUCUGUAUGCUCUCUGAAGAAAGGUCUGGGAAUAGUCAUCAUUUACUAGAUUUAUCAGGAAUGACAUAAGAGGAUGUGAGCUCUUUGGAGCGGGGAGGAGGGCAUCAAUCCAAAGAUAAAAAAGAAAGAAAAAAACGCAAAUGGACUAUUUGCAAAACAAGAGCUAUUUGGUUUGAGGGCAAACUGACCGGUAGGUUGGACAUAUAAAAGGGCCAACUUAAUGAGAAGAGAGAAUUCCAGUUAGACACUGUCGUCUCAUUGUUUUCCCUCUGCCCAUAAUAAAUCCGUUCUUCCCCCAGCUCCAGUCCCCAAAGUGAAUUGUCUAAUCUACUUAAGACUGGAAAUCGAAAUCUAAACUAAAAUAUAUCUUUUGAAAGCUUUUUUUAUGUUUUGAAAAUUCAUAAACUUAAGUUUGGUUCCAUCUGGGAAAUGUUUGCAAGUCAGGGAAGAAAGAAAAUGUCUUGAAGAUCCGGUUAGGAUUUCUGGAAAUAGAAUUUCAACACAUAAUACCCUCAGAUGAGGGAGCUUAGAUACUCUUUGCAUUCAGAGUAGUAACCAUUUGAGAAGUUGCACAGUGCAGUCAUAGACUUGCAGCAAAGCCAUUUGGUGAGGUUUUCUGUGUUAGUGUGAAAGGCUAAGCCAUUGAGAAUAUUUCUGGGGAAACAUUCUGAGUGACCCUGCUCAUUCCUUAUAUGUAAGUGAGCAGGAGGAGUAAGGCAUUGUGUGCAUUUCUGCUCAUUUUGCUCAAGGUUUACAUGUCAUGGCACCAAAGUCCAUAGGGUUUCUAAUAUCUUCUGAGUCUUGAUGUGAAAUGAAAGUGUAUGGGGGUUUCCUUUGACCAUCACUGGCCCCAAGAGCAAGCGCCCUUAAGCCGCUUGCAUAUUGUACUUUAUCAGCUCUCCUAUCAAGAGUGACCAGGUUGUUGUUCAAUUAAGUAUGUUUGUGGGAUUUUCAAGCCACAAUGAAGUGCUUUUUAUAAAUGGGACAGUCUUGACAAAUAGGUAUUUUGUAUUAAGAUGCUAAAAUGUGGCAAAUUAUUUUCAAAUGAUAACUGAAAAUGGGCAUUUUUGUUAUUUCACAUCUUUUAAAGAACAGCUGACUUUACAUUUCUUUUUCAUUUUGAAUUAGGAAAAUUGUUAAGAAUGGGGUGCGUUACCAUGUGUAGAGUGGAAAGGAGCUGAGAGGAGUGUCUCAUUCCCACGGACACUUUCUGUGCCCUCACACACAGGGCUUAGACGUCUUCUCCACAUUCCACACAGACGCCUAUAAGCGGCCAAUUGCUGUCUGAAAAUUCUUCCUCCUUGUUUCCUAACACUUCUCCCCUCCCUCUCCCCCCCCCAAAAAAAAGGAAAGGAAAGGAACGAAAGGAAAAGAAAAGGCUCAGUUACUCUUUUAGGGGAAAAGGUGACUGAACCAAAGCAUAUUCUGGUUUUAAAAGUGAAUCUACAUUUCAUGGGAUACAUAGAUAUGCUGUUUGCAGAUGAUUGCUUGCUCUCCAAUGAACAUUUGAUUGUAUUCAACAAAAAUCGACCACAUGAACUGUCAUCCUUGAAUUGCCACAAAAUAGAUUGGUUGAAACUUGAAGGAUAUAAGCGAGAAAUACUUCAUUUUAUUGUAAGAUUAAGCAUUCUGGUAGAUUUCUGAGUCCUAUAAGUACUGAGUUUUGUAAUAGCAUUACCUCCAUGCCAUUGACAUAAAUGCAAAAGUUUUUGAGUCCCUCUUUAUCCCAGUUACAUAUACCGUCUUGGGACCUGAUUGUUUUAUUACCUCUUCCAAAGUGAUAGAAGUUUCUUAUGAAUAGACAAAAGGUCUUUGGUACCCUAGAGAAAUUUUUGAUACUGCAAACUUGGUUUAUUAUAUAUUAAUUCAUGUAUUGUUUCAUCUAAUAAGCAUUUAUUAAUGUAUAGUUCUCACAGACAUUGUGAAGCGUCCAAAAAAAAAA